rnacentral:rRNA from 1 species
UACGUAGGGUGCGAGCGUUAAUCGGAAUUACUGGGCGUAAAGCGUGCGCAGGCGGUUUUGUAAGACAGAGGUGAAAUCCCCGGGCUUAACCUGGGAACUGCCUUUGUGACUGCAAGGCUUGAGUGCGGCAGAGGGGGAUGGAAUUCCGCGUGUAGCAGUGAAAUGCGUAGAUAUGCGGAGGAACACCGAUGGCGAAGGCAAUCCCCUGGGCCUGCACUGACGCUCAUGCUCGAAAGCGUGGGGAGCAAACAGG